UUUUCAUCAACUAAAUAGUAAAAAAUAGAAUUUACAGGGUAAAUGAUGAUAUUUACACGAACUACAAUAAUGAACCACCCUUAGGAACCCCCAAAACCCGGUGUCACAAAUGCAUGAGCAUCAGCUAGGAAAUAUAAUAAAAUACAACAUCUAUCUAGAAUACAAAUUAGACAGGAGAACAUAAAUAACUCUAAUGGAGACUCUGCGGCUGCGAAUCGUAACAUGAAAUGCAGCUCACGGUAAGUCCCCGCAAUAUUCGCACAUCUAUGCCCAAAAGACCACCGGACAUAUAUGUACCUGCACAAAAAUGUACAACAAGUGUGGCAUGGGUACAUAAAUCAAUGCGUACUCAGUAAGUAUCUAGCCUAACCUCAGAGAAGUAGUGACGAGGGGUUGACAUCAACACUUACUAGUGGUCCAACAAAACAGAUACAGUAAGAGGUAAACAGAAAUGGGGCAGAGUAAAUAAACGAAAUAAACAAGUAUAAAUAUGUAGUGAAAUCCUCCUCUCAGCAAUAACCUCACACUUUCAAUUAGCAGUCACCUCUCCACCGGAGAGUGUGUGCGUGUAUAUAUAUAUAUAUAAUGAACCUCACCAGAUAGGUCAUCAUAAUUUAAAUCAGGAAAACUCCCAGGUACAACGACUUUUUGACAAAUAAUAUGCACGUUUUCCAUAUAAGUAUUUUAUAGAAAUGUCGAGGCGUACGUCCCGAUGCCAUCAUAAUCUGGUACAUAACCAUAGAUACAUCUAUUAUAUUGCUGAGGCAAAUGGCCCGCUCCCAUGAUAGUGUGGUACAUAAUCAUGCUGAGCCGAACGGCCCGAUCCCAUAAGAUGUGCGUACUGCCGAGGGUCAAACGACACGAACCAUAUAUGUAUCUAUCCUUCCGAGGCGAACGGCCUGAUCCCAUUAGAAUAAGAAGCUUUGACGGGUCCUUGACCCUGCUCACGAAAGGACAUAUGAGUUAUAAGGAUCUUUGAGGAAACCUUGCGAUGAUAACGCACAAAGAGAGAGAAAUUCGUAAAAGGAGUACAAUUAUUCGCGACUAUCGAUGAAGCCCGUAGAAUCUCUACAAUAGCGAGUCUAUCGCUCUACACAAGUCUAGUCUCAAGUAGUAAUGUAAAAUAAAGGAAUUUAACAGGCAAGAGACUGCUCAAUCUCUUAAGGAACACUUACCCCAAUGUUUUUCCUUGAAAAUCUCUCAAAAAUUGCCCUUUCCCGAGCUCCAAAUCGUUAAAAAUGGAAAAUAUUCAAAACUUAAAUCUGCUGCCCAGUCAUUUACCAUAUGCGAUCAUGGCCAAUCUACCGCGAUCGCGAAGCAUAAAAUUUUCCAGCAUUAUUUUACUCUACGCGAUCGCGUCCAUUCUCUCGCGAUCACGAAGAACAAAUUUUUCCAACAACCUUCUCCAACUCUUCCGGACAGCCUCUAGUAUAAAGGUCAUAACGUUUUGUACAAAACUCCAAAUAAUAGAUGGUUUAACUUUCUGAAAACUAUACACCAUGAUCUAUAACUUUUAUUUUUUUGGUUAUCUUCCAAUUCCUUAUAUAUUUCUAGGUAUAAUAUGCCAAAGUUAGCUAUGUGCAACACAAAUUUCUUCUUCACGAUUUCCAAACAUCUUCCUAGAUAGCCUUUAGUGUACCAACUAUAUAUUUUUGUACACAAUUCCAAAUGUCAAAUGCUUUGUUUUUCUGAAAACUAGACGCAAAGAGCUACAACUUUUAUUUUUGGAUCGUCUUGAAAUUCCUUAUAGAUUGCAAGAUUUAAGUUUCCAAAGUCGGGGGUUAGUGCAAUAGAAAAUUUCCUCUAUGCGAUCGCGAAUUGUCUACCGCGAUCGCGAAUCACUGGCCAAUUUCUCCCAUUUUACUCAUCGCGAUCGCAUCCAAUUCCCCUCAAUCGCAUAGCACACUACUGUAGCCCAAAACCAGCAGCUAAAAAUGGCCUAGCAAUGGUCCAAAAUCACCCCGAAACUCACCCAAGCCCCUCGGGACCCCGUCCGAACAUACCAACAAGUCUCAAAACAUAUCAUGGACUUAGGUGAAAGCCUCAAAUCACAUCAAACAAUGCUAAAAACACGAACCACACCCCAAUUCAAGCCUAAUGAAACAAAAAAAUCACUUGUACAUUCGAUGCUGAAACCUAUCAAAUCAUUUUCGAUUGACCUCAAAUUUUGCACACAAGUCAUUGACCUAUUUCCGAAAUUGGAAUCCGACCCCGAUAUCAAAAAGUCCACUCCCGGUUAAACUUCUGAAAACCUUCAAUUUCCAACUUUCGCCAAACGACCCCGAAAUGACCUACGGACCUCCAAAUCCACAUCAGAACUCGCCCUCAAGACCCGAAUCACCUUACGGAGUUAUUCCCAGGCUCAGAAUCCCAAACAGACAUCGAUAACAUUAAAAUAUACUUCAACCCAAAUUCAUGAAAUUUUUCCAAAAUGCUAACUUCUCACAAUAAGCGUCAUAAUGCUUUCGGGUCAUCCAAAACCCGAUCAGGGCAUAUGCCCAAGUCCAUAAUCAUCAUACAAACCUAUUGUAACCUUUAAAUCCCGAUUCCGAAAUCGUUUACUCAAAAGUCAAACCUUAGUCAACUCUUCCAACUUAAAGUUUCUGAAAUGAGAAUUUUCCAUUUGAAUCAACUCCGAACUUCCUGAAAUUCAAUUCCGACCACAUGUGCAAAUCAUAAUAGCUGAAGUGAAGCUACUCAAGGCCUCAAACCGCUAAAUGACGCAUUACAGCUCAAAAUGACCGGUCGGGUCAUUACACUAAGUCUUCAUCCGGUCACCUAAGCUCAGUCAAGAAUCUCUGCUAAUAUCCACCGGAGGAUCUGCAUAAAAAAUAUGCAGAAGCGUAGUAUGAGUACACUACAAUCGAUACCAUUAAGUAUCAAAUCUAACCUCAAAGAAGUAGCGGCGAGGCUAGAUGCAUCCGAAUACUUACAACACAGAUGUAAUAAUAGAAUUUAGAACUAAAUAGUAGAUAAUGUAAGGAAUAAUGAGAAUUAAAGAUAUCAACAGUCGAAAGAUGCUAAGCUUGUUUUCUAGUACAAGAAAUAAUCAUAACGUUACCCAGAUAUAGUAUUAAGAGAUAUCAUGCUCAAAUAAUAGAGUCGGGGCUCCAAUCUAGCAUAUAAUGUGUCAAGUAAAAACUAGCAUCUAAAUGAAUGCAUCUAAGGGAGUCAAAAAUAUUUAUGCAUGCUCAACUGAUACAUGAUCCAUAUAACCCUAUAUACAAUAAAUGUAUCACGAAAACCGAUACAAAAUGCAUGUAUCGACCCAGUGCAAAAUUCAUGUACCAAACAUACUCAUAGUGUCCAAAGUAAUAUGGUUAAUCACUUGACUCCAGAGGGAUGGAUCAAAAUCCAAGCGCAAAGAGGAGUUUAUAGCAUCACUCAAAUAUCCGAUCAUCAUGCCAUGUGUGCCAUAACUAUAUCUUAUCUACACGCCUUACUUUUCGUGCCAAAAUCCUCAGUCCAAAAUAAGUGUCCAUAUACAACAUGUAUGCAUAUGUUCAAUAAUUACAGAUAAAAGAUGCACAAAGACUUAAUAAAAUCAUACGGAUAUGUGCUCAUGGAAUCUCUAAGUGACUACAAACAAUAUAAGAAAUUUAACAUAUCAAGGAUAAGUUCCCAUGCCUUUGUAAAUAAUCAUAAACCUAUGCAUGAUUUCUUACAUGAAUAAGAGUGCAGACGUAGUUACAUAAGCCAAACAAAUCAUGAAUCAAAUGAGCACAUAAUCAAACAAGGGAUAAAAUAUUCUAAUUAUACCCCGGUCAUAAUGUAAACUCGCUAAGUGCAUAUAUGCUCGCCACCAUGUAUAUACACCACCCCCAAAACCUUAACCACAUAGCAAUCAAGUCAAAUCCUAGGGGUUUCCCUCUUAACAAGGUUAGCCAAAAGACUUACCUCCAGCAGGUAGCCUUUAACCUUCCAAAAUUGCUUUCCUCUCAAAUCAACCUCCGAAUGAGUUGAAUCUAGCCAAAUACAACUCAAUAACGUCAAAUAAAGCCAUAUAAAUAAAUCCUAAAUAAUAAAGUUCAAAUCUUUAAUCAAAUGCACAAAGUCAACCAAAACAUUAACAAGGGCACGCACCUCGAAAUCUGACUAAACUCAGCAGUUUUGAAUACCCAUUCUAAUAUGAGUCCAAAUAUAAAAGUCUCAUCCAAAACCGACUCUAAAUCGGGGUUCUAUUUUAAAUUUCCAAAGGUUUUUCCAAUAUCCCCCACCCCUCCCUAAAUUUCUCUUCCAAAUAUCAUAAUCUAUGUGUAGAAAUUCAUGGGGAAACAAGAUGUAAUUUCAAAAUCAAGUAUAAAUUACUUGCCCUCAAAGUGGUGAUGAAAUUUUCCUCAAAAAUCAUCUGUAGCAGGGCACCAAAAGUCAAAAUAAUGAAAAAUGCUCAAACAGGAUAUACCUUCUGCCUAGCGACUUCCAAAGUCUCAAAAUACUGAAAUUAGUAUCAAAACUAAGAAUCAAUGGUUAAAACCCAAUUUAAACUUCUCUUAUAUUCAUUAGCUUCCAAACUUCAAAUCACGCGUCCGAUUCAAGACUAACCAAUCUGGAUUCCAACCAAAUGUAGGAUACAAGUUCCAAAUGAUAUAACAAACCUAUACAAAAUUUUGGAACAACAAUCUGACUCCAAUAACAUCAAAGUUAGCCCUCAGUCAAACUUAUUAACUCUGCAAUCUCACCAGUCGCCAACUUUUGGCAAAUAGAGUGAAAAUAUCCUAGGAACCCCCAAACAAUUCCGAACAUAUGAUAAAACCCAAAAUCGCCAUAUGAAUAUUGGAACCAUCAAAACGCCAAUCUAAGGUCAAUUAUAAUUUAAUCAAACGUUGGUUUAGGCUUCAAAAAUGAGAAUAAGAAUUCACUCUCAAAUAUUCCCAAAGCCAAACCAACCACCCUGCGAGUCACAAACCAAGAAACACACAUAUGAGAUGCAUAAAAUACACAAAACAACCAGGUGGGUGGUCAAAUAAGGGGUCUUGAUGGAUCGAUUGUGUUUCGAAAGGAUUCCAGAGCAUUUUUGUGUCUUACGGGAGUCCUGGUUUUAGCUCUUCGCACCUGCAAUAGAGUGGUCACAGGUGCGAGGCCACCUUUAUGGAUUGUCUAUCAUUUUUUUAAAAUUUUAUAAUGGUCUGGAGGUGGUCACUAUUGCGUAAGAAGGAGUGAAGUUGUGUGGCUGCACCUGCAGAGUUUUGGUCGCAGAUGCGAGGAACAGACCUGGCAAAGGAGUCCACAUUUGUGAAGUGUAUGGUGCGGAUACAGGGUCACAUUUGCGAUGGGUGUUACGCACUUGGAAAGUCACAGAUGUGAAGGUUGGAAACUUGAAUGGAGUUUGCAUAUGCGGGAGGGGGUUAGAGGGUAGAUGUAGUAUCACAAAUGUGAUGGUCUUUUCCGUAGAUACGAGACAACUGGCAGACUUUAUAAUUUUGAGGGUUAGCUCAAUUUUUCCAUAUUUUGGGAUUUGAAGCUCGGGAAGAGGAAACGUUUGAGGAGAUUUUUAUCAUUGAUUUAAGGGUAAGUAAUUUCUACCUGAUUUUAAUUAUAUAUCAUGAAUUCCCAUAGAUUUUUACAUCUAAAAUGUGGAAUUUUGAAAGGAAAUUUGGGGUUUUUGUCUACACUUUUAGAGAAUGUAUUUUGGAUAUUUAUGCACCGUUUCAGACUCGAUUUUGAUAACUAAUUUUAUAUUUGGACUUUGUAGGUUAUGAGUCAUUGAAUUUUGGUAUUGGUUUCGUAUUUCGGGAAUGCGGGCCCAAGCUUAUUUUUAUUGACUUUUUGGGAAUUAUUCAAAGAUCAAAGCUUUAUGGAUUGGGUUCGCUUCUUAUAGAAUUGUUUGACUUCCUUGAAUGAUGUUUGGCCUAGAUUUGCAUAACUGGAAGGCUAGAGCGAGGUUUUGAUGCAAUUUGAGGUUGAAGCUAGCGAGGAAGAAGUAUGUCUCUUGGCUAACCUUGUUAAGAGGGAAUCCCCUAGGAUUUGACUAGAUUGCUAUGUGUUUAAGGUAUUGGGAUGGUGUAUAUAUGAGGUGGAGAUGAUAUAUGCACGUAUCAAGUUUAUAUCAUGUCUGGGGUAGAAUUGACAUACUCUAUGCCUUGUUUUAAUUAUAUGCUCAUCUUGAUUCAUGAUUUGUUUGGCUUCUAUGGCUACAUUCGCUCUCUUAUUAAAGUUAGAGACCAUGCCUAGAUUUAUGAUUAUUUAUGAAAGCAUGAGAGCUUGUUCUUGAUAUGAAUCCUUCGUAGUCACAUAGAAAUUUCACGAGCACAUAUCUGCAUAAUUAUUACUCCAUCGGUCUCAUAUUAUAUGAGGUAGUUUGACUCGGCACAGAAUUUAAGAAAAAAGAAGAAGACUUUUGAAACUUGUGGUCUUAAAAGCUUAAGGGGUAAAAAGUUUGUGGGGCCAUGACAUUUAUGUGGCUAUAAAAGCUUCUCAUUAAGGGUAAAUGGGUAAAAUGAAAGAUUUUAAAGUUGAAUUAUUUCCAAAUUUAGAAAUGUGUCAUUUAUUUUGGAACAGACUAAAAAGGAAAGUACCUCAUUUAAUAUGAAACGGAGGGAGUAUUAAAUACAUGUGCAUCUUCUAUCUGUCCAUUCUAGGGCAUAUGCAUAUCUAGUAUAGUUUGUAAUGACCGGCCAGUUGUUUCGUGUGUUUGAGACUCGUUCCCCUAUUUGAUGCUCCUAUAUGUGCAUUUGUUGUUAUGUGACUUAAAGAAAUAGUUGGUUUGGUUUCGGAAAGGUUUUGGAGUGAAUUAGAGCACUUAGUUCCAAUGUUGGAAGCUUAAGUUAUACGAGUUGACCAAGGUUUGACUUUUGUAUAAAUGACCUCGAAAUGUUGCUUUGAUGGUUCCAAUAGGUUCGUAUGGUAAUUUUAGAAUUAGGUGUAUGUCCGAAUUUAUAAUUGGAGGUUCCUAGGUUGUCUUGAGUCUCAUUGGCAAAAGUUGGAAAUUUGAAGGUUUGGAAGUUCAUAGGUUUGACCGGGAGUUGACUUUGCGGCUAUCGGAGUCGGAUUGUUCUUUUGGAAAUUGAAAUAGAUUUUUUAUGUCAUUUGAAAUUUGUGUACAAAAUUUGGGAUCAUUCUGAGUUUGUUAGACGUGGUUCCGCAUGAGUUUUGAAAGUUGGAAGUUGAUUAGUAAUUAAGCUUGAAUUGUGGUGCAAUUAGUAGUAUUGAUAUUACUAUGUCUGAUUUGAGACCUCGAGUAGGUCUGUGUUAUGUUUUUGGGAUUGGUUGUAGUUAAUGAAUGGGGUCCUGGGGGGCCUCAAGUGUGUUUCGAAAGGAUUUCGGAUCAUUUGAGCUUGGUUGGAUAGCUAAAGUCAGCUAGUGUCUGGUGUGCUUUACGAUUGCAGCGCGGAUCUCGCAAUCGCGAAGGCUUAAUUUGGGUAGAGGAAUUUUGUUCUUAGCAUUCGCGAUGCUUUGGUGACUAGUGGCAUUCACAUUCACGACUUGGGCGUCGCAUUUGCGAUGAGGAAGGCAGGUUGGGGGUUGGACAUGAAUUUGGCCUACGCAUUCGCGUGUAGGCGAUCACGUUCGUGUAGACUAGUAGGUAUUUGUGAUUUGUGUUCGGGGGAUGGGGGUUCUGUUUCCGAAGGGUUAUUUCCGGGCUCGAGCUGGUUGUGCUUCGCGAACGCGAGGUUAGACCGUGUUCGCGAAGGGUAUCACUAGGCAGAUUUUUAAAGUGUUAUAUUUUGGGACUUAGACCCAUUAAUUCGUAUGGGGCAAUUUUUGAAGGGGAUUUUCACACAAACCAAGAGAGUAAGUUAUUUUUAUUUUAUUUUAACAUUAUAUCUUAUUUACCUAUGGAUAGAUUAUAGGAUUUAAAAGUUAAAUUUGGUGAUUUUGACUAUAGUUUUGGAGAGUGAAAAAUGGGGAUUUGAACUCCAAUAUGGAGUCAGAUUUGGAUGAAACUUGUAUAUUUGGACUCGUAUUGGAAUAGGUAGUUGGGAUUUGUGACAUUUGUUGGAUUCUGAGAGACAGGCUUGGGUUGAUGUUUUUGUUGUCAUUUUGCUGUCUGAUAAAAAUUGGAGCUUUAUUACUUAGAAUCAAUUUCAAUUGCCGUGUUUAAUGUUAUUGAGAUAUUUUUGACAAGAUUCCCGUUAGGAGGUCGAUCCUCAUGGGAAGGACUUUUUGGAGUAUUGAAUCAUGCGCUUUAAGGUAAGUAACAUGUCUAAACUUGGUUUGAGAGUAAUUUUUCCGCUGGCUAUGAUAUUUGAGAUAUGUUGGAGGUGACGCGUAUGCUAGGUGACGGGCGUAUGUGCAUACACCGGGGUUAUGCAUGAUUCAGGUAUAUUUUUGCUAUUAUGUGCCUUGUUUUUCUAUUAUUCCCCGUUAUUUCUGAAUUUUCUCUACUUGUAUGACUACUUGAGCUAUUCAUUCUAGGAAUUAAGUCUAGGCUAUGUGCUUAUCUGUUUGAGACAUAAUAGGGAUAUUCUUGCUAUCUUGAGUUGUUUUACUUAACUGUAGUCAUUUUCUCAAUUAUAAUGCUAUAUAUGCAUAUUAUAUCACUGUCUCUGUGCAUUCUCAAUAUGCUAUCUCACAUAUUGUUGAUGCCCUUAUAUGUGUGACAUAGUUUGAGGUGAGUACUAUGAGAUUGUAUAUUUGAGACUUGAGCGGUUGAUGACUAAUCUUGGGCCAUAUAGUCGAUUUGGCAUAGAUUAUGAGGUGACGCGUACGGAAGGCCCCACAUUGGGCUAAGUGGUAUUGAUUAUGAGGUGACGUGUGUGAUAUGCCCUAUGUGAUAUUGAUCGUUGGUUCUAGCAUGUUUACUUGUCAUGCAAGUACUAAGUUGUGAUUUUUUCCUCAUGUUUAUUGGUACUAGAUGCCCUUAUUUACAUGUAUGAACUUGGGAUCACUAUUAAAUUGAUAAACCAUGCCUAGAUGAAUUUUGUGAAAAAAUGUAUGCCUUAACAACUAUUCUUGAAAAGCAUGCCUAUUUCCCUGCUAAUUGUUAACAAGGUUGAAUUUAAUAUUGCUUUAGCUACUUCUUUUUGCCAUUAUUAUGUUAUAAUUUUUGUUAUUUGUUAUUGGUAUUGAGUAUUGAACCUUAUUGAGUUCAUCACUGCUUUCAGCCCGAGAUUAAGCUUGUUACUUAUUGAGUACAUGAGGUCGGUUGUACUGAUACUACGCUAUACACUUCAUGUGCAUAUCCAAGUACUAUCGAGAGAGGCGAUUUGUUAGCUAGAGGCACCAGUAUCAAUUCUAGGAGAUUUGAGGUAGCUACUGAUUCUAUUCUUAGGCCUUGAAGUCCCUUGUUGCUUUGUUUAUGUUAUCACAGUUCUAUCUUUCAAAUGGUUUUGUACUUUGGAUUAGACUCUGUAUUUAAAUCUUGUAGUGCUCGUUGACACUAGAUCAUGGAAUGGUUUUAGAUGUAUUACGAUUAUUUGGCUCCAGUUAUUUAUAAUUAUUUUUUUGUUUAGACUAUUCAAAUCUGUUAUUUGAGUUUAUUGUUGUCAUUUAAUUGUUGGCUCGCCUAGCAAGUUGAGUUAUGCGUCGUCACAACUCCGGUGGGAGUUUGGAUCGUGACAAGUUGGUAUCAGAUCACUAGGUUGCUUAGGUCUCUUGAGUCAUGAGCAAGUCUAACAGAGUCAUGUAGAGCGAUACAAAGACGUUUUUUCGUAUCUUCGAGAGGCUACAGGGUUGUUAGGAAACUUUCCUUUCUUUCAUUCCAUGUCGUACGGAUUUGUUUACCUCUAAGUCUGAAUCCUUGGUUUUCUACUCUCUCACAUAUGGUGAGGACACUAUUGUCGGGUACAGCUAAGUUGGCGCCGAUACCCCAGACUAGGGCCGUGAGAGGCCAGGGUCGAGGUAGAGGCAUAGCACGCACCGCGGAUAAAUCCUGUAUAGCUGUUUUUGAGCCACCAUUAGCUGCUCUUGAGGUUCAUGUGCAUGAUUAUGUGGAGCCGGAGGUACUAACUUAGGUUCCCCAAGGCUUAUUUAUUUCACUAGUUAUUUAGGAUGCAUUAAUUCACAUGGUUGAUUUGUUCGAGAGUUUGGUUCAGGCGGGGGCAUUUCCAACUGUACCAGCUACUUCCCAAGUAGGGGGCAGAACGCAGACUCUAGCUACUAGUACCUAGAGCAGGUGCCCAUGGUUAUCAGACUCCUAUAGCAUUGCCAUUUGGGCGAGUUUAGCCUAUUGCUGCAUAGUCUGAUGAUAGGCCUACGAUGUCAGCUUAUAAGAUGAAGAGGUUAGAUAAAUUCACCAAGUUGCAUGCUCCUCACUUCAGUUUUAUGCCUUAAGAGGAUGCUCAGGGAUUCUUAAAUCGUUGGCAUGAGAUUCUGCAUAAUUUGGGACUAGUUUCGUCCAAUGCAGUUGAAUUCACUACCUUCCAGAUGCAAGGCCGGCCAAGAGGUGGUAGUAGGUUUAUGAUAUCGGUCGACUAGUAGGAUCUCCUCCUCUUACAUGGGCUUAGUUCUCCAGAGUCAUUUAGAGCAUUUUGUGCCACGCACCAGGAGAGUGGAGCUGAGGAGGCAGCUUGAGUACAUAUAACAGGGCCAUAUGUCAGUUACUGAGUAUGAGAUGAAGUUUAUAGAGCUAUCCUGUCAUGCUAUUGCUUUGAUUCCCACUGAGGAAGAGAGGAUGAGGAGAUUCAUUAAGGGUCUUCACCAUAGUAUUUCCCUUGUUAUGGCUAGAGAGACCAGGACCGGGACUCUAUUUCAUCAGGUGAUUGAGAUAACACAUCGUGUGGAGCGCAUCCACAUCGAGACUAGAGAUAUGAUGCUGACUAAGGACAAGAGGUCUUAUCAGGUAGUUUUAGUGGUGCCUCGUCUGGAGGUCGAGGUCAAUUUCUGAGAGGCCAGUCUAACAGGCCAGUUUAUUAUUCACCACCCCUUUGGUGCAGUCUUCAUUCAGUGCACUCCUAGAUCAACGCUCUUACUGCACUCCAUCAAUUUAGGGUUCGUCGGUACCAAAUCCUUCUAGUAGUUAUUCUAGUUCAUAGGUUUCGAUUCAGGCCUCACAAUCAUUUGCAGUAAGAGGUUGCUAUGAGUAUAGGGAGUUGGGGCAUAUUAGGAAGUAUUGCCCCAUCUUUGUAGGGGUCCAAUAUAGCAGGGAGGCCAGGAUAUGAUUCCCGCACCAGUUGCUACACCACCCGCUUAGCUAGCUCUAGGUGGAGGUCAUAGGGGACGUAGGCGUCCUAGAGGGGGAUCUCAAACUAGUAGAGGAUGCUUCAAGGAUGCUUCAAUAUUAUUUGCUUCUAGUUCUACUUAUUCAUAUAUGUCAUCAUACUUUGCUUCUCGUCUAGGUAUGCCUCGUGGUUAUCUUAAUGCUCAUGUGCAUGUGUCAAUACCUAUUGGUGAUUCUACUAUGGUGGAUCGAGUUUAUCGAUCAUAUCUGUUCACUAUUUGUGGUUUUAAGACGAGGGCAGACUUUCUAUUCUUAGAUAUGGUGGAUUGUGGUGUGAUCUUGGGUAUAGAUUGAAUAUCUCCAUACCAUGUCAUUCUUGAUUGUCACGUUAAGACCAUGACGUUGCCGAUGUCGGGGUUGACGAGGUUGGAGUGGAAAGGUUCUCUUGGUUGCACUCCUAGUAAAGUAAUCUCAUUUUUGAAGGAUAAAUGGAUGGUUGAGAAAGGAUGUUUGACAUAUUUGGCUUUUGUCAGAGAUAUUUGUGCUGAUACUCCUACUAUUGAGUCACUUCUAGUAGUGAGGGAGUUUCUGGAUGUGUUUCAAAUAGACUUAUCGGUCAUGCUACACGAUAGUGAUAUGAUAUUAGCAUUGAUUUGGUACUGAGCACGCAACCUAUCUCUAUUCCUCUGCAUCGUAUGGCUCUAAUGGAGUUGAAGGAAUUGAAGGAACAUUCAGAAGAUUUGCUAGAUAAGGGUUCAUCUCGCCUAGUGUUUCACCUUGGGGUGUACCAGUAUUGUUUGUGAAGAAGAAGGACGGGUCUAUCAGAAUGUGUAUUGACUAUUGACAGUUGAACAAGGUGACCAUCAAGAACAAAUAUCCAUUGUCGCACAUUGAUGGCUUAUUUUAUCACCUUCAGGGUGCCAUAUUGUUCUCGAAGAUUGACUUGAGGUUGUGGUAUUAACAAUUGAAGAUCAGGGCUUCGGACAUCCCUAAGACUACUUUACAAAAUCGUUAUGGGCAUUAUGAGUGUUUGGUGAUGUCGUUUGGGUUGACUAAUGCCCAUGCAGCCUUCAUGAAUUUGAUGCACAUUGUGUUUAGCCUUAUUUGGAUUUUUUUCUUCAUAGUGUUCAUUGAUAAUAUAUUGGUGUAUUACCAUAGUAGGGAGGAACAUGAACAACAUUUAAGGAUCGUGCUUUAGACAUUAAGGAAGAAGAAUCUAUACUCUAAAUUCUCCUAGUGCGAGUUUUGGUUAGGCUCAAUGGCAUUCUUGGGUCAUGUGCUAUCUAGUGAUGGGAUCAAGGUGGACUAGAAGAUGAUUGAGGCAGUUCAAAGUUGUCCCAGACCUUCUACUGCAAUAGAGAAUAGGAGAUUCUUGGGUUUGGCUAUUUACUAUUGUCGCUUCGUAGAGGAAUUUUCAUCUAUUGGAACCUCAUUGACUAAGUUGACUCAGAAGGGCGCUCUGAUAAGGUGGUUUGAUGAGUGUGAGGAGAGCUUUCAGAAGCUCAAAACAGCCUUGAAAACAACUCUAGUAUUGGGUUUUCCUUCGAGAUUUGGGUCAUAUGCAGCUUAUUGCGAUGCCUCGGGGGUUGGCAUUGGGUGCGUGAUGAUGCAGGAUGGUAGGGUGAUUAAUUAUGCGUCAUGCCAGUUGAAGCCCCGUGAGAAGAACUAUCCAGUGCAUGAUUUGGAGUUAGAAGCUAUUGUACACACGUUUAAGAUUUUGAGGCAUUACUUAUAUGGCUUGUCCAGUGAGGUGUAUACGGAUCAUCGAAGUCUCCACCAUCUGUUUAGAUAGAAAGAUUUGAAUUUAAGGCAACUGAGAUGGUUGGAGGAUUAUGAUAUCACCAUUCUUUAUCGCCGGGGAUGGUAAAUAUUGUAGCAUAUGCCUUGAGUAGAAAAGCGGGGAGCAUGCAGAUUUUAGCAUUUAUUCCAGCUAGGGAGAGGCCUUUGGCUAUGGAUGUUCAGGCUUUGGCCAACAGAUUUGUGAGGUUGGAUAUAUCAGAGCUUAGCAGAGUCCUUGCUUUUGUUUUAUCUUAGUCAUCCUUGUUUGAGCUCAUUAAGACUCGUCAGUAUGAUGAUCACCACUUUCUUGUCAUUAAGGACACGGUGCAGCGAGGUGGUGCUAAGGAGGUGCAUAUUGGUAAUGACGGUGUGUUGUGACGACAAGGCUAGAUUUAUGUUCCUAGUGUGUAUUGGAUGAGAGAGUUGAACUUGGAAGAGGCCCAUAGUUCGCGGUAUUCCAUUAAUCCAGGUGUUGCGAAGAUGUACCGGGAUUUGAGGUAGCACUAUUGGUGGCAGAGGAUGAAUAAAGAAAAUGUUUGAUAUGUUGCUUAGUGUUUGAAUUGUGAACAUGUCAAGUAUGAGCAUUAGAAACCCAGUGGGUUUCUUCAGAAGACUGAGAUACCAGAGUGGAAGUGGGAGCAUAUUACUAUGGACUUUGUGGUAGGUUUGCCACGGACAUUGUCACGACCCAAAAUCCACUAAGGGUCAUGAUGGCGCCGGACACCACUGUCAGGCAAGCCAACCAAAAUACUUAAUUAAAUUCACGUUUUAAUAAUUUUGAAAAUUAUGAUUUUCCUUCAAUUUUACCAGUAAAAGAUAAUUGUUUCAAACCGAAUAUAAAUGUUAAGCAGUUAAUACAAGAUACCCCGUAAUCAUCCCAGAACUCGGUGUCACAAGUGCAUGAGCUAAUCCUGGGAAGCAAUACAAUACAACAACCAUACGGAAUACAAAUUGGACAGAAAGUAAAUACAAUAAUCUGGAAGAGACUCCGCUGGAUACGGGUCAUUUGGGGAAGUGUAGCUCACCUAAGUCUCCGUGUCAACCAUGCUGGUAUGCCCACUAGGCCUCUAGAGAUGCAUAUGCCUGUGCAACAAAAAUACCCAGAAGUGUAGUAUGAGUACGAAAACAAUGUGUACCCAAUGAGUAUCUCGUCUAAUCUCGAAGAAGUAGAGACGAGAGGUCGACUUCGACACUUACUAGUGGUCCAAUAAUGUUAUCUCAAUAAUGUAGUAAAUCGGUGAUUUUUAUAAACAUGACUGUAGUUCAAUGGAAUGAAGCAGGUAAGAAAUUCUUUCUUUUAUAGAAAAUUUCCAAAUUCCUUUUCAUCGUUUAUACAAAUAUUCUCAAACCGGGAAGAGGCAAUAACAACUUCAAUAAGUUUCAAGGCAAGCAAUACAAGCAUACACAAAUCAUGCCGAGGUUGUACAGCCCGAUCCAACAAUAUUUAAAUUGUGCACUGCCAGAGGGUUGAAUGGCGCGAACCAUAGAUGUAUCUAUUUAAUCUGCCGAGGCGUUCGGCCCGUUCCAGAAUUUAAACACGCACAGGCAAGCAAUCAAGAAGUCAUCAGGAAGCAAUUAUCCAAAGAAAACAAAUUCUCCUUUAACAAUUUAGAAAAACAAAAUGAAGUUUAAUUCUUUUUAGAAAUCCAUUUACCAAUUCGAUAGGAUUUAAGCAAUCAACUGUCAAUAAGGUUACAGAUAUUCCAAGUAUAGCAUGCUUUUGGGUCCUAGACUACCCGGACAAUAGCAUAAUAGUAGCUACGCACGGACUCUCGUCACCUCGUGCGUACGUAGCCCCCACAAAUAGGAGCACAUAACUAAUUAUUUCAACUAUGGAGACAAUUCCCUCUUACAAGGUUAGAAAGGAGACUCACCUCGCUCUGAAGAUCUAUAACCGGCAUUCCACGCUCUUCCGAAGACUAGAAUUGAUGCACAAUGCUCUAAAACAAGCCAAUAAUUAUGUAAAUCCAUUAAUAUAUAUUCAAUUACUCACUACAAUCCAAUUUAUAACAAUUCCUAACCCCGAUCGAAAAGUUGACAAAAUUGCCCUCGAGCCCACAUGCCCGGAUUCUGAAAUUUUUUGAAGAUAAAGUUUAUCCAUGAACUCCUGAACUCAAAUAUAUGAUUUUCUCUUAAUUUCAUACCCAAAGUCGUGGUCAAAAUCCAAGAAUAUCAAUUUUUUCUAGGUUUACUCUCAAACCCCAAGUUCCUACCAAUUUCCAUGUCCAAAUCUGUAUAUAAUCAUGUAUUUAUCUAAAAAACUAGCAUAAAUUACUUACCUCAUGCUUGGUGGUGAAAAUGGCACCUCAAAGUUGCUCCAAAAUCGGCUCCAAUGGAAGAAAUGAGGUUAAAAUGAACCCAACCCCCGAUUUAAAAGAACCUCACUGCCUCCAGCAUUUUCGCACUUGCGGUCUCUUCACCGCUUCUGCGUCUCGCAGGUGCGAACCAAAUGCUGGUUCUGUGGUCCAGGGCUCCCAGCCCAUUCCGCUUUUGCGUCCACUCCUCCGCAGAUGCGGUCCCGCAUCUGCAGCAAAACGACCGCAUCUGCGGUCCCAGCCUAGCCAUCCUUUUCCGUUUCUACGGCACGAAGGCCGCUUCUGCAGCUCCGCACCUGCGGCCCUAGUCUCGCAGGUGCGGUUACACCAGCAACUUCAGCCCUUUCCAAAAUAUCAUUUUCGAUCCGUUAACCACUCGGAAUCCAUUCGAGGCCCCCAGGACCUCAACCAAUCAUACCAACCAGUCCCAAAACACAUUACGGACUUGCUUGAGGCCUCAAAUCAUAUCCAACAAUGCUAAAAUCAUGAAUCGACCUCCAAUCCAAGCUUAAUGAACUUUAGAAUUUCAAACUUCUUCAUUCGAUGCCAAAACAUAUCAAAUCACGUCCGAUUGAUCUCAAAUUUUGCACACAAGUCAUAUUCAACAUUACAGACCUACUCCAACUUUCGAAAUCAUAUUCCGACCCCGAUAUCAAAAAGUCCACUUCCGGUCAAACUUCUCAAAAACCUUCAAAUUUCUAUCUUUAGCCAUAUGACUCCAAAAUGACCCACGGACCUCCGAAUUCACUUCCAAUCGCGCUCCCAACACCAGAAUCACCAUACAGAGCUACUCCCAGACUCGGAAUCCCAAACGGACGUUGAUAACACUGAAACGCAUUUCAACCCAAACUUAUGAAAUUCUCCCAAAAUGCUAACUACCACAAUAGGCACCAAAAUAUUUUCGGGUCUUCCAAAACCUAAUCCGGACAUACGCCAAGUCCAAAAUCAUCAUACGAACCUGUUGGAACCUUCAAAUCCCGAUUCCGAGCUUGUUUACUUAAAAAUCCAAUCUUAGUCCAUUCUUUCACCUUAAAGCUUCCGAAUUGAGAAUUUUCUUUCCAAAUCAACUCCGAACUUCCCAAAAUUCAAUUCCGACCAUGCGUACAAGUCAUAAUGCCUGAAGUGAUGCUACUCAUGGCCUUAAACCAUCGAAGAACGCGCUAAAGCUCAAAACAACCGGUCGGGUUGUUACAUUCUCUCCCACUUAAACAUACAUUCGUCCUCGAACGUGCUAAGAACUGCGCAAGAGUUGUCCGAAAUCACUGUUUAACACCUCGUUCACCUACCCGUGCUACCACAACUCAGUUGAGCACAUUAGCUCGAUCAAAUCUGAAGGUAUUCUCUUUCAUUUAGGCAAAUAAUCCUUAGAGUCAAAUUUCAACAUCCGGAAUUCUCUGUCAUGCCUGCUUCCAACAUACGAACACCGUAUCAAUCCCCAUACGAGGCACCCGUACAUGAUUGCAUACCUUUGUUGAAUCCACACUAUGCAUUGCAUAACCCACAUGACCAUAAUAAUAUCCGUUGAUAAUAACCGCCGAAGUUCCACGAAUCUGACGCUCACAACACACCUCAUGACAUAUAUAAGUCCUGUUCCAACUCUUGCAACACUGCCACGACGGAAGAGGUGUGUGGAAACUUAUAACCAACUACUGAGUCAACAAAUCAUUGGGUCUAUACUCCUGACAAGAACCGUCACCUCAUUCUGAACCAAGUAAUGGUCCUUUCUCCUUAAUAUACCUCAUAUAAUCGGAUUGCACUGAUCCUAAAUCCAAUGAUCUCUUUUUACCAAGUACGAACUACUCAGGCAAUAAGUUACCCCGGACAUGAUCGAAAGUCUCAUAUGAUGCCACAACGUGCUAAUAGGCCACCAAUUCGAACGGGAUACAAAGGGAAACGAACUCUAGAAGGAACUACUCAACUCGUGCAACUAAUAUAAACUUUCCUUAUAAAAUGGGAAACAAACACACAUAAGAUGAAGUAUGAAAACUGUAUUCAACAUCACACUAUUGCGGCGUGCAACCCAAUCCAAAUAACAUACCCAUGGCGGCGUGCCACCCGAUCCACACAUAAUGCUCAUUCAGAUGCACAUCGAGCUAAAUUGCUCAUUACAACAAAAUACCGAAUUUCGGUCACAAGCACACUAAGUGCAUAAUACGGUCCCUGAGGGGACAUAUAGCGCUAUAAGCUACAAAACUCAAGCACAACUGAGGUGCGAUAUACGAUCUGAAUCUCAAGAGCCAUUUUGCUCAUAUAACAUCAUCUCUACGCGGAACCUCAACACAUAAGCAAUUUACCAAGCCGUCUCAUAACUCACACAGCGCAAUAUAUCAUUACAUGAAAUAACUGACGACGAACUACCACCCUGACUACUCUUCCAUAUGGAGAGCAUUACCGAAAUGAACACAUAUUGCCUGAUAUAGAGCCCAUAUUCACAUUCGAAUCCAUCCACAGGCCUCAAGCUGAUUCUGAUAGCACUAAACUAGGCUAACAACCUUUCAAAGGUCCAUAAUAACUCCUCUUUUUUUCUCAUAACACAUAAAAACAACCAUCAUAACUGGAGUAAUUAUCCACAGUCCACAACUCAAUAAAUCAAGUGCCCUCCAAGCAUAAAUUACCCAAUCAAUGAUAUCACCACAAUCUUCAUACUUGGUUCAACUCUUCAACCAAUCAAGUGACUACCGGCCACACUUAUACAACCUUCCCGUGGGGCACGCUCCCACAACCUUCCAUAACAGAUAACAAGUUUGUACAUCCAAACCACCGGUUGUACUAACACUGAAAAGCGAUAAAAAAUCCUUAACCAGGAUGCAAAGUCUUUUUCAUAAAGCACCAAUCUCAGGUGACGCUGAGGACAAUACCAACUUACUUUAAACAUCGAAACUCCCUUCCUGCUCAUCCGAGCUCGUGACAUCCUUGUCAACACCAAACUGCAACCUUGAUCCUUACUUCAAUUUCCAUACCACUUACUGCACCCAUCAUGCCAAUAUGCGAUAGAACACGAUUUUCAUCAUAACUCCGGAACCACUAAUAGGUUAAUGCUUCAUCAUAUAAAACUUUUUACUUAACUCACUUCAGGAGAACCAUAGCAACACACAUGUGAAUUCUCAUAACCGUAAAAUAUGCAAAUCUUCAAGUAGUGGUCUAAGCCACCAUAGCCCUUCCAGGAUCCGCCUACACAUAACAGACCAUAACAGUGGAAUACUUAUGAAUAACAUCAAUUACGACUGCCGACAGGCCUCACCUGUACUGUCACAAAUCACUUGCAUAACUUAAUCACACUAAGGGAACUAGUCACAGCCAUCAUCAUGCCAAUUCAAUUAUGGCUAACCAGUCUAUCUUCUUCCAGUUUAUCCUUGGUUGCCUUAGAAGAAUAACUCCAUUCAACACAUAGCACACUUCAUCCGCACUCAUCCUGAGUGACCGUGAAUCACGAGACCAUGCUGUCUCAAAUCCCACGAACCAUUUCAUACCCCCCAAACGCUACACUGCAAGUCAAAACAUCAUAGGACAUUUUGUUCCUCUUCUUAUAAGCUGCUACAAAGCUUGUUUCUUAACUGUACUUAUAGGCUCGAAAUCAUAUUGCACCACACUUUACCCUUUGAAUCCACUUGGCCGUUCUUGAGAGCCACCCACUCUGACUUGGCCCCUAUCACACCUCCUUUUUUACACCCCGAGGGGGUAUAGGAGUUUUUCCAAUUAAAGUGACAUUAUUCGAAAUGGAAUUAUUUCAAUUUAAUCAGAGUUGCCAAUUGGAAUAGUUUAAUUGGUGUCCCAAGUCACCAAUUUAUUUUAAAAUCUCAAAUCGAGGAUAAUCGACUUUUAUUUUUUAUAGUCUGCAAACUAGAAAUUCUAGAUAAGGAAUUAUGUUAACCGGGAGAAGGUGUUAGGCAUUCCCGAGUUCCGCGGUUCUAGCACGGUCACUUAACUAUUAAAAUUGGUCUAUUAUCCGAUUUAUUACAUAUUUUAACCUAUUGUGCAAUUUCAGCUUAUCAACCGCUUUUAAUUAUUUUAAAAUGCUUUUAGGAAGAUUCAACAUUAUUUAAAAUAUGCUUUGAACCACACCACAUGAAAUACACCUGCGGUUUGCGACACGUUCUAUUUAACAUUGUUAAGAAUCGAAAUUGGGUUACAUGAAAUGUACACACGAAUUUAGUAAUUAAAAGAAAAUCAAUUUAAUAAUGCGCCUAAAGCAACUACGAAGGUUCAAAUUAAUAACAACGUUUGCGAGGGCCAUGAAAAAUUCAAUUGAUGGCACAACUCGAUUUUUAAAAGGGUUAUUACUUAGUUGAAUGAGGGACAUAGAUUAUUUAAUGAAAAUGACACACCUCAAAUUUUCUAUAAAAAGAGCUAACUAGUUUUGUAAGGGCCAUGGGCUUAGAGGUUUUAUUUGGCAUGGCAAGCCUCAAAUUAUUUAACAAAAAAAGGUUUAUUAUUCGAAGUUGUUAUGAUCGGGUUACAUGAAAUGCGCCCCCAAAUUUUGGAAUUGUGUAUCAUAACUAUGUCACAGGAACUGUACCCAUAGUCACGAUGAUUUAUUAAUCGUGCCUAAAGCAAAGCUACGAUGCUCAAAUUAUUAUCUAAACUAUUUUUGAGAUUAUUGUGAAGGCUAAAGUUAUGAAAAUUAUUAUAGAAAAGUGUAAGGUUUAACUUUUAUGAAUUACUAACCUGACCAAUGGUAUUGCUAAAUUACUAGAGAUAUCUACAACUUUACGGAUGGCCAAAUUCUAUAUCUUGAAAUCAUCCAACGUUUUGGGCUUAUUAGCAGUAAGUCCGUUCGGCCCAAUUCUUUAAAGAUUUUAGCAACCAAGGUCUAAUAAUGUGAUAGAUUUCAGCCCAAAACUAAUUAAUGAACAAUUCAUAUAUCCUUGAAUUCUUAAUUCCCAACUUUACAAACAAGUUAAGCUCAAAUAAGGGUCAAUCCAGUGAGACGAAAAAUGCAUGCUUACUUUCCUUCAAAAUGAAAAGGAACUUUGAAAUUACAGAUUUAACCAAUCAAAAGCUAGUUCCAUAAAAUUAGACCAUAUACACUAUGAAUCACCUCUAUGAUUAUUAAACAUCACUGAGAUGACACAAUUAGAGACACAGAAUGUGCAAGCUUUUAAUAAGCUGAAUUUUGUGUUCAAGCCAACACGUCAUAGCCAAUUCAGUUGCCUAACAACCAUAUUCCUAAUUGUCAACAGGAAUCGAGUAAUUCACAUAAAAUAUUGCAUUUCAAAUUAUUUCAUUGUUUCAUUCGAAUGGAAAACAAAUACGCAUGGAUUAUACAUCAGAACAACAGAGAUUAUCUUGAACAAACCCAAAGAAGACGACUAAGUAAGGUCUCAAUAAUUUCAAUCAUUUAAUGAUAUCAUAAUACAAGAAAAGUUGGAGAACUGACCUAAUUGAAAACGAAAGCAUUAAAAUGAGCCCAAAUGUGGUAGAAAUCAAAACAAGUGUGGCUCAGCAAUAUUAAUCCAGCAGCAAAAGAUAGCAUCUGAACCCCAGAUUUCAACUCAGAAGAACCAAACCAACGGAAGGCAACGAGACUGUGAACUCAACAACCUCUUAACCGAACUCCAUUUCACAUGAAAAUCCAGAAGAAGCGCUGAACCCUUUUUUUUUGUCCAGAUCUUCCCCGUAGCCUCUGUCGUGAAUCUCUGUGCUAUUGUGCGUAUGUGUGCACGUUUUUGAGCAGUAGAAAGGCGUGAGAAUGAAAAAGGAGAAGGGUCUGGUUCUUGAAGGAGAUGAAGAGGAGAGAAGAAGAAGCAAUUUCAAAGUUUGUUCAUGGGUGAGGAACUUUGUUUUGCUCCAGAAGAUGAGGGCGACACUGUAUGGAGUUCUAAAGGGGAGGGUCUACGUUCUUGUUCUUGAAGAAGAUGAACAGGGGGUCGUUUUUCAUCGCUUCUGAUGAGAGAGGGGAGUAAAUGGCGCUCAAGCCCAGGAGUGAGGGAUCUCCA
rnacentral:lncRNA from 1 species